ACGAUUAGCUUAGAAGAAGGUUCAUUUGGCCUUCUUUUACUGAUAUAGAUUAUUGUCUAGGCCAGGUAUGUGAAACCAAAAUAAUAAAUCUAAUUCGAAAUUAGUUAAAAGUUAAAAAGGAUUUCCUAAUGAAGAAUGACAGCAUCUCACAUAACAAAAUUGUUGAUGUCUUUGCUCAUAAUGACAUCCUUAAAGCGUAGAUGUGCAACUAGCCCAGUUGUUCCUGACGAAGGAAGCUUUUACUGCGGUAAAGGAACUUUUGUAAACCACAAAUUCUUAAAUGGGGAACCUUUUUGUGACCUGUGUGCAGAGAAUACGUUUAUAGACUCGGAUCUUCACACCUUCAAAUACUGCGAUAAGUGCAAGCAGUUCGAACCUUGGGAACAUGUCGAGGAAACUGCUGCCUGCACUCGAGAGCAUGACACAUUUAUUAAGCGCUGCGAGAGUGGAUUUUAUCCUGACACAAGACCUACAGAAUAUGGCUGCCGCCCCUGUCCAUCUUGUCAUACAAAUUACAUUUCUGAAUGUUGUGACAAUCAGGCAGCAGUAACGGUACGAUCUGCAUCUGAAGAGCACCGUACAAUAGCCACCGAUAACACUUCUUCCACUCUAGAAACUCUAGAUCUAGUCACUAUUUAUAAUACGUGUGAGGAAAUAGUCCCAGAACAUUGUCAUGAGUUGAACCUCACAAAGUGUUCCACUGACAGGGAAUUAAAAAUCAUUUUGUGCAAUCAAUGCCCCACAUGCCAAUCUAUUACAGCGUCUACGGAUUUGCUAUCUACUUCUGCAAAAAUCGGUAUAGCAUGCUUUGUUGUUGUUGUUGUUUUAAGUGCAAUUAUUUCAUUCCUUGUCUACAAGAAACGGUAUCAAAAGUACCAGCCAGCGAAUACCAACAACAACAGCAACAAUUAAUCCAUUAAAUUCUUCAGGAUACGUAAAUUGUUUUGACAAAACAUUGUGUUUAAGUACUCAUCUGCUAAACCAAAGUCUUUUAGUUAUAGUUUGAUAGUCCACAUCUUGGGCGAAAAUUGCGUAUAGAUAUCUUAAAUUGGCCCAGCUGUAUUGUCUGCAAUCGGGUACGAGCAAAAUAUGUAGGUUACAGGGUCUUCGUAGCCUCGCGGAACAAUGUUCUCUUCUUUAACCAUUGGACUCAAACCCAAGACUCGUACAAUACUUCUGUUCAAGAGAGACUAUUUGUUAUAGAAGACCUCAACACUGACCUGCGACGUCGCAACCUGUGGGAAGUGGAGACCAAUAGCUCGUUGCCUCGUCACAGGUCUGUACGACGUGGCAGCGAGCUAUAUUUCGCACCAUUCAAAACUGAAUAAGAAUCUCUGCUGUCUAGUAAGAAGACAAAGCUUACUUCCGUCCAAUACAAACUGAAGGAAAUUAAGAGUUAUGGGUUCUGGAAAUGAGGCGGAUAUAAUCAUGAUGGUGCUGUACAUCUGGGAUGCCCGAAAAGUAGGUCAGUAGAGUCAGGUGAACGUCUGAUUACUCGACGUAGUGGUAGACCUAGACUUUGUGAUUGGCGGAAGCGAAUCAAAGGCUGACAGUCGUUAUUCUGCAUUUGUUGUGAUCAUCUAAACAUCAUUCUAUAUAAUACAUAAACAUCUGUCAUCUUAGGUUGACACUAUAUUCUGAUGUUCAUUGACUUUUGUUUCCAUGCAGUAUUUGUUAAUUCAAAAUUUGUAGAAUAAAAUUAAAAAGUCAACUAGUCAUCUAA